AGGUGCGAUCAUAACAGCACUAAUGCACCGGAUCCCAUCAGAACUCCAUAGUUAAGCGUGCUUGGGCGAGAGUAGUACUAGGAUGGGUGACCUCUUGGGAAGUCCUCGUGUUGCACCUC
rnacentral:rRNA from 2 species